CCCCCCCCAAUGGUUAUUUGUUUCUUUUUUCAUCCUCCAGAACAAAGCUUGUUCCAAAUUUUGGUGGUUUUUCUCAUUUGAUGAUGUCAGCUGUGACUUCUCAACUACUAUGAGUUGCAGUGAGCUAAACAGUGGAAUUUUGUGUUGACAUCUAAUAUUACUUGCUGGGAUAAAUUGUGAUCUAUGAAGUCCAAGUAGAGCAGAAGACCACAAUUACUGUAAAGAAGCUGUCCACUCAUUACUGCAAGCUCUGGGGAAAAGGAGGAGUGACAGAAUAUAGACUGAUAUCGGAGAGGUCGGUGUGUGGCAUCCUUGUGUACAUGCCACCCCUGGAGCAGGAUCACGGAGUAGGAUGUGUUUGCCACAUGCCUGAUCUGCGUUGCUGAAUAAGGUACAGUGAGGGAUUGCUUAAACAACGCAGCUCUG
rnacentral:lncRNA from 1 species